rnacentral:rRNA from 1 species
GCGAGUCAUGGGGCGCGCUCUGCGCGCACCGGCGGACGGCUCAGUAACACGUCGGUAACCUACCCUCGGGAGGGGGAUAACCCCGGGAAACUGGGGCUAAUCCCCCAUAGGCCUGAGGUACUGGAAGGUCCUCAGGCCGAAAGGGCGUAAGCCGCCCGAGGAUGGGCCGGCGGCCGAUUAGGUAGUUGGUGGGGUAACGGCCCACCAAGCCGAAGAUCGGUACGGGCCAUGAGAGUGGGAGCCCGGAGAUGGACACUGAGACACGGGUCCAGGCCCUACGGGGCGCAGCAGGCGCGAAACCUCCGCAAUGCGGGAAACCGCGACGGGGGGACCCCCAGUGCCGUGGCAUCGCCACGGCUUUUCCGGAGUGUAAAGAGCUCCGGGAAUAAGGGCUGGGCAAGGCCGGUGGCAGCCGCCGCGGUAAUACCGGCGGCCCGAGUGGUGGCCGCUAUUAUUGGGCCUAAAGCGUCCGUAGCCGGGCCCGUAAGUCCCUGGCGAAAUCCCACGGCUCAACCGUGGGGCUUGCUGGGGAUACUGCGGGCCUUGGGACCGGGAGAGGCCGGGGGUACUCCUGGGGUAGGGGUGAAAUCCUAUAAUCCCAGGAGGACCGCCAGUGGCGAAGGCGCCCGGCUGGAACGGGUCCGACGGUGAGGGACGAAGGCCAGGGGAGCGAACCGGAUUAGAUACCCGGGUAGUCCUGGCUGUAAAGGAUGCGGGCUAGGUGUCGGGCGAGCUUCGAGCUCGCCCGGUGCCGAAGGGAAGCCGUUAAGCCCGCCGCCUGGGGAGUACGGCCGCAAGGCUGAAACUUAAAGGAAUUGGCGGGGGAGCACUACAAGGGGUGGAGCGUGCGGUUUAAUUGGAUUCAANNNNNNNNNNNNNNNNNNNNNCGACGGCAGGAUGAAGGCCAGGCUGAAGGUCUUGCCGGACACGCCGAGAGGAGGUGCAUGGCCGCCGUCAGCUCGUACCGUGAGGCGUCCACUUAAGUGUGGUAACGAGCGAGACCCGCGCCCCCAGUUGCCAGUCCUCCCCGCUGGGGAGGAGGCACUCUGGGGGGACCGCCGGCGAUAAGCCGGAGGAAGGAGCGGGCGACGGUAGGUCAGUAUGCCCCGAAACCCCCGGGCUACACGCGCGCUACAAUGGGCGGGACAAUGGGAUCCGACCCCGAAAGGGGAAGGGAAUCCCCUAAACCCGCCCCCAGUUCGGAUCGCGGGCUGCAACUCGCCCGCGUGAAGCUGGAAUCCCUAGUACCCGCGUGUCAUCAUCGCGCGGCGAAUACGUCCCUGCUCCUUGCACACACCGCCCGUCACUCCACCCGAGCGGGGUCUGGGUGAGGCCUGGUCUCCCUUCGGGGAGGCCGGGUCGAGCCU